CACCUGAUAGCACAUCAUCGGCGUGCGCCUGUUAAUAAUGUGGCAGGUUUUAAAAGCCUUUGACGGCAGGAGGUCCCCGUUCGAUUCGGGGUCGGGUGA